ACAAACGAGGAAGUAAUGGCGUCUCGCGUCGUUUCGCUUUCCGAUAUUCCUGACAAAUUAUCAUAAAUGUGACAUUACAAUGCGAAAAAAAUAGAAGUCAAAGGAAUUUGUAACUGGCUGCUACAUCGGAAGGCUCGAUAUAUCUUUAGAAAAUGACGAUAUCUAACAUUGACGGGGUGAAAUCUAUCCAAGUCAGAGAAAAUCGGAUAGCCGCCAUGUUGUCAACAUUGACAUCGAUACAAAGGAAAAGCGUGUGUGACAGUGUGACGCAUACUGUAAAUGCAAACAAGGAAAUUGUGGAACAUGUUCACACACUCUGGCUUUAAAAGUAGACCCGAGAGGAAAAUUGCCCCCGGUGUGGGGUUCGAACUCACAACCACCAGAACACUAGCCCAGCUCUCUAACCAACUAAGCUGACCGGGCAGCUGGUUCUAACCCACACACACUACCCUCCCCCCAUUUACCGGAUAAGGCUGGUGGAGGGUCUCCUGCUAUUUACCGUUGACACUAUUAAAGUAUUCUGAUUGAUGGAGAUAAGGAAGUCCCCUUAUUAUUGUCUUCAACAAGCCUACCGCAACAGGGGACCUAGCAUAAGACCGGAAACCGCCCCCCCCCCCCCCCCCCCACACACACAUGAUAUUUGCCAGUCCAGGCAAUGUCAACCGCAAGAGAAAACCAGUGAUGACAAGAUUUACAAAUAAUCGGAAAGUGUGGUCUUUUGAAGAGAGUUCUUGAAGUUGUUCAGCAUGUUGUUUUGAUGGAUUCUUGGAAGGAUGUACCUCUAUGAUGUUAGCUUCAGUUCUGGAUUAUAACACCAGUUGUUGCAUAUUUAACAUCAGAUUUAUUAAAUACAUUGUUGUUUUGCAAACAUUAUUUAAACUUUGAUAUUUCUUUGGUGUUUAUGUAUGAUAUUGUAGGUGAAUAUCUCUUUAUUGCUAUGGCAAAUAUAUUUUAAAAUAUAUAGCAUUAGCAGAAGUUAUUUUUCACUGUUAAAGCUGCACUUCCACAGAUUGGUCAUUUUGACAACUUACACAGGAUUUGAUUGCAUUUAUCAUAUUUUGGCUCGGAGAAGUUUGCUUUGUGAUUUAUAUUUUAGGUCUUAAUUUAAAGAAUGCCAAAAUAAGCCGAUUCUGAGACAAAAAGUGUCAAACUAGAAUUCUGUGAGAGUGCAACUUUAAGAAUACUAUUAAUUGAGUGUGCAUAUGAUCCGGACUCUGAACAUUGGAUGAACUAUCAUUAAAUAUUGUAGAUUUACGUAAAUGGCCAAAAAUAUAAGAAUAACAAUGAAAAUAUGUACAUGUUUGACUUGUUCUUUAUUCAGUGGCGUAGCUACAUAUAGGCCUUGUAGGCCUGGGCCUACAACUUUUUUGGAGAAUGUCAAAAUUAAAUAACCCGAAAAAGCAAUAAAAACUAAUAGCUACUCAAACUUAGAACAAACUCAAAAGUUUGUUUUAUUAUGACCAAUGCAAGUUCGGUGCUUAUUUAAACUAUGUGCAAGGUGAUUUUAUUUUAAUCAUUGCAUAUUUAAUAAAGUUUGUGUAGUUUGCAUGUACAAUGGAUGCACUUGUGCUUUUGGUUUUUCUCCUGAAAUGCUUCUUAAUUUCAGCAUUUUGCUUCUUAUUUAGAAAGAAACUUUGGGGUGGAGAUGGGGGCUUAUCCCCAAACUCACAUAGAUCCAUCGGGCCUUAAAGUUUUU